AGACGAGGGAUCCUAGCGUUGUUCGGAAUUAUUGGGCGUAAAGCGGGUGUAGGUGGCUAUGUAAGUCAAGUGUGAAAGCCUGGGGCUCAACCCCCAGAAGUGCAUUUGAUACUGCGUAGCUUGAGUGCUAGAGAGGAUAGUAGAAUUGUUGGUGUAGUGGUGAAAUACGUAGAUAUCAACAGGAAUACCGGUGGCGAAGGCGGCUAUCUGGCUAGACACUGACACUCAGACCCGAAAGCGUGGGGAUC
rnacentral:rRNA from 1 species